rnacentral:rRNA from 1 species
CGUGUAGGCGGGUUAUUAAGUCAGAUGUGAAAUACCGAGGCUCAACUUCGGGGCUGCAUCUGAAACUAAUAAUCUUGAGUGCAGGAGAGGAAAGCGGAAUUCCAAGUGUAGCGGUGAAAUGCGUAGAUAUUUGGAGGAACACCAGUGGCGAAGGCGGCUUUCUGGACUGUAACUGACGCUGAGGCGCGAAAGCGUGGGGAGCAAACAGGAUUAGAUACCCUGGUAGUCCACGCCGUAAACGAUGGAUACUAGGUGUAGGAGGUAUCGACCCCUUCUGUGCCGGAGUUAACACAAUAAGUAUCCCACCUGGGAGUACGGCCGCAAGGUUGAA